rnacentral:misc_RNA from 1 species
GAUGAAGAACGUAGUGAAAUGCGAUAAGUAAUGUGAAUUGCAGAAUUCAGUGAAUCAUCGAAUCUUUGAUCGCACAUUGCGCCCCUUGGUAUUCCGAGGGGCAUGCCUGUUCGAGCGUCAUUACACCACUCAAGCUAUGCUUGGUAUUGGGCGUCGUCCUUAGUUGGGCGCGCCUUAAAGACCUCGGCGAGGCCACUCCGGCUUUAGGCGUAGUAGAAUUUAUUCGAACGUCUGUCAAAGGAGAGGAACUCUGCCGACUGAAACCUUUAUUUUUCUAGGUUGACCUCGGAUCAGGUAGGGAUACCCGCUGAACUUAAGCAUAUCAAUAAGCGGAGGA